CAUUACCUAUUUGCCCCAGGCUUUAAGACGUCACUAGCCAAAGAUGCAUCUUCUUGAACACCAAUUCGGAAGGUCACCAACUUCCGGCACACAACACAAAGAACUCCCAAAUUGUAAAGUAAAUCUCUACGCAUUUGCGAAGCUAAUCAGAGUUUCAUCUUUCUCGAUAACUCUGAUCGAAUUUUCUGACGGUUUUCCCCCUCGUAAGCCUUUCCCUUCAUAUAAAAAAUUAAUAAUUCUUAGACGUCAAAGCCUUGACCUGGGAAAAGGUCGUCUACUCCAUCUCCAAAUGGGCUGGUGCUAAGUUUGACAAACACCGUAAGCAAUCACAUCGUUUUCGUUUGUACAAUAAAGUUAAUAUUUUAUUUGUCUCCUUUAACACUGAUUUGAUUGCUUUCAUACAGUUUAAGAUAUUUUUUUUGUCAAAGUAGAGGAUUAGUAAUGGACAUGUCUUCCUUAUAUGAUGGUCUACAUGAAUUAAGGCAAAUUUAUUUUGUUAGGAUUUCUUGUCCUUAAACGAAGGUAAAAGGAUAUCUGGUUUUGUUAUACCUUUACAAUGUCCUUCCAAAAAUUAGUUUAAGAUAGUUUCUGUGCAUCAAAUCUUAUAAUUAGGCUAGGCCAACAAUUUUUUUACUGGUCAAAUUUUCUGGCACUAACUUCUGCAAGGGAAUGUUGUAAAUUGACAAGGACUUUGAGUGUUUAUGAGAUAGCUUUGAUAGAGAAAAGAUAAUUAUAUUACCAUCACAUAAUCAUUGAAAGUACCUGUAUCUUAUAAGAGAUGAACAUCAUUGAUCACUUCAAUUUGAUAGAAGCACAAAAAAUGUGCAAUCCACAUUCUUAUCCCAACUUAUGCCGAAUCUACGAUAUGCAGUAGUACUAUGUUUUCCAGUAGUAAAAGUCCACUGGGAUUAAGGACUGAGACUCAUUUUGACUGACAAAAAGGAUUUGGUGAUAUCAAUUGAAAUUGAUGUUUAUUCGCAUUUUUUGCUUAAGCGAAUUUGAAGAAAGGUAUCAUAUGUCACGGUUUUUUGUCUAGACAUUAGCAAGACGUUUAGCGAUUCCACAUAAUCACUCCAUUGACAAUCUUGGUGAAUGAUGUACUCGGGGUUGAGGUGGACUAAUUUUUAGACCUCGGAUCUAUAACCAGGUUUUCUAUUCAGACUGUCCCACCUGGUAUCAUUGUGUGCUUACCAACUCGAUUAUGUACCUAUGAAAUCCAUGGCUCUUGAAGAGAAGAUAGCAGAUUGGAGCUCUCAUGGUGGCCUUCGCGGUUAGUGUCAUUAUUUUUUCUUCUUUUCUUUUAGUAUUGUUUUGGCUUAUUAUCUCAGUACUUUUCACUGAUUUGAAUUUUUCUCCGGGCUGUGGAAUGGCGGAGUCGAUAUAUCACAAAGCUACUUUUCCUAUUCAAAAUAUGAGGAAAAUAUCAAUGGAAUUGAAGGCAACAACUCAAGAAAAACUUAGCAGCUCAUGGCGAAUUGUUUUGAGUAUUGCAAGAUUUCUUUCCUUAUUCAUUUGUUUUCUAUGUAUAUUCUUCUAUAUCAUCAGGAUAACAUUUGUAACAAAUCUGAAUGUGCCAUUUAAAUUCAGUCCAACAAUAAAUCAUGUACGUCUCAAUUUCUACUUAAUUUUGGGUUGAUUUCUUGUGUGUUAUGAAAGUUUGCUAUUUAUCUGAUA